rnacentral:rRNA from 1 species
GACGAACGCUGGCGGCAUGCCUAACACAUGCAAGUCUAGGGGUAGCAAUACCACUGGCGCACGGGUGAGUAACACGUAGGUUAUCUGCCCCCAUCACAGACAUAACCCCGGGAAACCGGGGCUAAUAUCUGAUGAGGUCGCGAGAUCAAAGCUUCGGCGGAUGGGGAUGAGCCUGCGGCUGAUUAGCUAGUUGGUGAGGUAAUGGGCUCACCAAGGCGACGAUCAGUAGCUGGUCUGAGAGGACGAACAGCCACACUGGAACUGAGACACGGUCCAGACUCCUACGGGAGGCAGCAGUGAGGAAUAUUGGUCAAUGGGAGCAAUCCUGAACCAGCAAUGCCGCGUGUGGGAUGACAGGGCUUCGCCUUGUAAACCACUGUCGGACGGGACGAAAGGAGGCCUCGGGGCCUC